GUGGGGAAUAUUGGACAAUGGGCGAAAGCCUGAUCCAGCCAUGCCGCGUGUGUGAAGAAGGUCUUCGGAUUGUAAAGCACUUUAAGUUGGGAGGAAGGGCAGUAAGUUAAUACCUUGCUGUUUUGACGUUACCGACAGAAUAAGCACCGGCUAACUUCGUGCCAGCAGCCGCGGUAAUACGAAGGGUGCAAGCGUUAAUCGGAAUUACUGGGCGUAAAGCGCGCGUAGGUGGUUUUGUAAGUUGGAGGUGAAAUCCCCGGGCUCAACCUGGGAACUUCCUCCAAAACUGCAUGACUAGAGUACGGUAGAGGGUAGUGGAAUUUCCUGUGUAGCGGUGAAAUGCGUAGAUAUAGGAAGGAACACCAGUGGCGAAGGCGACUACCUGGACUGAUACUGACACUGAGGUGCGAAAGCGUGGGGAGCAAACAGGAUUAGAAACCCGAGUAGUCC
rnacentral:rRNA from 1 species